CGAAGUCCACUUGAUUGUAAAUAAUUUACUCACUCUGCUGAACAUCAAACUCCAAAGGAAUGAUUGAAAAGGAAAAAUUGAGACAUUAACAUUUUCAUAUAUUUUUCACUUUAUAACAGCAGUGUCAAUAUGUGGCUAAACCUCAUGGGUACCUCCAGCAUGCCCUCCUGCCUCACGUUUGGCCCCUGUCCCUCGUGAUCUACCUCAGGUCCUCUUGUAUCCACCCCAUUCUUCUGUCUGUGCCUUGGUAGGGCGAAGACCAGCAGAAGAGGGUGAUGUCCUUCCUGCCUCGAUGGCAUGCCUCAGGAAGUGCUGAGCUGGUGAUUCCGGAGAGCUGGCAGGCAACUCUCAACAGGAAGCAGCAGCAGUGGAUUGACCGGACGCUGUUUACCAAUAGCUGCCUACGGAGCUCACAGUUCAUCACUGUCCUUGCCCCUGUGGGCAAAAACCAGAAGAGGGUGAUGUCCUUCUUGCCUCCAAGGCCUGCCUCAGAAAGUUCUGGGAUGAGUUUUUCUAUAAUAAAUGAGAAGCUUAGAAAUGGUAAUUGAAUAGUUGCUAAUAUUGGGUCAACUAUUAGUAGUAUAACACUCGCUCCCUCAGCGCUUGCGGGCAACUCUCAACAAGCAUCAGCAGCGGUGGAUUGGCCGGACGCUGUUUACCAGGAGCAGCAUGGGGAGUUCAUAAUUCAUCACUGACUUGCUUGAAAGACACCAGACUAACGUCGGUCCAGUGUGAGCUGGCAGCCAGCAGUGGAUUGGCCGGACGCUGUGUACCAUCUCCCCGAUCCCCUUCUUUGCAUGUCCUCUGUUCUGGAUGCCCCUUUGUAUGUGGGCAUUUAAGCUGACAUGCCCCCAGCCUGGGUGAGGGCACAAUUCAUCACAGACUUGCUUGAGACACCAGACUAACGGCGGUCCAGUGUUUGCUUGUCUAACCCAUGCUGAGUCUAACCCAUGCUGUGUAACAUUUUGUAACUAAUCAGCAUUUCACUCAAAUGUUUGGCAUGCAUAUGCAAUGCUUAAAAUGAUCUACUACAAAGGGACAGUUAUACAGACACUCCUGUUAUGUCUAUGGCCUCUAACUUCGAAAUGUUAAUUGUGAACUGAAAAUAACUAUGUUUUAAGUUCUGCUGAGGGGAAGAUUGUAAAACAGUGGCUGGCGGAAGUGAGAUACGCUGAGGGGCGAGGUGCUGAAGGAAACUGAGACACUCGUAGGGUGGUCGUGAAACAAUCCUUUUGUAUUUACACUGAACAAAAAAUAUAAACGCAGCAUGUAAAGUGUUGGUCCCAUGUUUCAUGAGCUGAAAUAAAAAAUCCCAGAAAUGUUCCAUACAUAUAAAAACAAAUUUCUCUCAAAAUUUGUGCACAAAUGUGUUUACAUCCAUUUUAGUGAGCAUUUCUCCUUUGCCAAAAUAAUCCAGCCACCUGACUGGUGUGGCAUAUCAAGAAGCUGAGGAGUAUUUCUGUCGGUAAUAAAAGCCCUUUUGUGGGGUAAAAACUCAUUAUGAUUGGCUGUGCCUGGCUCCCCAGUGGGUGGGUGGACCACCCAUGGCUGCACCCCUGUCAAGUCGUGAAAUCUAUAGAUUAGGGCCUGAUGAAUUUAUUUAAUUGACUGAUUUCCUGAUAUGAACUAACUCAGUAAAAUCUUUGAAAUUGUUGUAUGUUGUGUUUAGAUUUUUGUUCAGUAUAGUUCACAGUUCAACUUGUUCCCCUCUACCAAGACAGUGUAGAGGCUUGUGUGUUUGGAGGACCCUCUGAGCUAUAUUGUCUAUAGCCUAUGACUACAGGCAGGAGCUCCCAUGACAAACUGGUCUGAGGUGAGUCACCAGCCUGACAUCGGUUCUUUUUUCAAUGUGGGUCUAACCAAUGCUAACAAUUAUUUAUUCCAAAGGAACAGACAUUUGGACAUUGCUGAAAUGUGUUUUAAGUUUGACAUUUGUUAGUAAUUUGUAGUUCACUCAAAUGUGGGGUGUGAAUAUAAGCAUUGCUUACAAUUGUCUUCUACAAAGGGACAGUUAUACAGACUCUCCUGACAUUUCUAUGGUCCCCUCUUCAAAACUUCAAAAUAUUAAUUAAUUGUUUUAAGUGCAAAAUAUAUGAGUACAAGAGGCACGGUAAAGGUUUAUUUUACUUUAUUAUAUAUUCAAAAUGGAAAAGGGAUAUGUUUAAAGAAUAUGUAAAAAAUACCCUCUAAAUGAAAAUAUAUACAUAUAAGAAUUUGUGUGAGGCAGGGGCAAUAGGGAGGGGGUGGGAAAGGGAUAUAUCGACAAUGUAUGAAAUUGAAAUAUGUACUGUAAAAAAAAGUCAUGAGUUGAGUAGAAUACAAUGACAUCUUAUUUUUGUCUACUACAAAGGGACGGCUUCACCUUUAACUUGUAUGUAUUGUAAUUUAGUCCGUCUUCUAUCACCUUAACUUGCACAGUAGGUAUACAGGGGACAUACAGACAGUGGAGCAAUUGUGCUGUGAUUGUUUGGGGCACACGUUAUCCUGUAAUUUCUUUCACUGUGUUGUUUUCCACAUUUUGUACAGAUGUGGCGUCUGGUGUGAGCUAAUGUUCAAUGUCCCCUCCUGUGAAAAUAUGCAGUAUUAUUUAUCUUUGCAGACUUUAAUGAAUUGUUUUUUAAUUAAUUACAUUUGUAUCCAGUUUUCAAUCACACAGCAACUGU